rnacentral:rRNA from 1 species
UAGGGAAUCUUCCACAAUGGACGCAAGUCUGAUGGAGCAACGCCGCGUGAGUGAAGAAGGUUUUCGGAUCGUAAAGCUCUGUUGUUGGUGAAGAAGGAUAGAGGUAGUAACUGGCCUUUAUUUGACGGUAAUCAACCAGAAAGUCACGGCUAACUACGUGCCAGCAGCCGCGGUAAUACGUAGGUGGCAAGCGUUGUCCGGAUUUAUUGGGCGUAAAGCGAGCGCAGGCGGAAGAAUAAGUCUGAUGUGAAAGCCCUCGGCUUAACCGAGGAACUGGAUCGGAAACUGUUUUUCUUGAGUGCAGAAGAGGAGAGUGGAAUUCCAUGUGUAGCGGUGGAAUGCGUAGAUAUAUGGAAGAACACCAGUGGCGAAGGCGACUCUCUGGUCUGCAACUGACGCUGAGGCUCGAAAGCAUGGGUAGCGAACAGG